GAUGAACGCUAGCGGCAGGCUUAAUACAUGCAAGUCGUGGGGCAGCAUGAGUGUAGCAAUACAUUUGAUGGCGACCGGCAAACGGGUGCGGAACACGUACACAACCUUCCUAUAAGUGGGGAAUAGCCCAGAGAAAUUUGGAUUAAUACCCCGUAACAUAACGAUGUGGCAUCACAUUGUUAUUAUAGCUUCGGCGCUUAUUGAUGGGUGUGCGGCUGAUUAGAUAGUUGGCGGGGUAACGGCCCACCAAGUCUACGAUCAGUAGCUGAUGUGAGAGCAUGAUCAGCCACACGGGCACUGAGACACGGGCCCGACUCCUACGGGAGGCAGCAGUAAGGAAUAUUGGUCAAUGGACGCAAGUCUGAACCAGCCAUGCCGCGUGAAGGAUUAAGGUCCUCUGGAUUGUAAACUUCUUUUAUCUGGGACGAAAAAAGGCUUUUCUAAGCCACUUGACGGUACCAGAUGAAUAAGCACCGGCUAACUCCGUGCCAGCCGCCGCGGUAA
rnacentral:rRNA from 1 species